UCCAUUCGCGUUCCGUAUGCAGCGGGAAUCGAAGUCGCUCGCGCGUGCAUAUGGAUCCACACCAACUGGCCCCACAGCCCAUGUGGCAUUUCCUCUCGGCCCCACCUCUAAACCAUUACCACACGGUAUACCACUGAAUACAGUCGAAUCGUAUCUGACUUUAGUGGGGCCCUAUACCUACGCCCUCCUGAGAUCGAGACGGCACACAAGCGAUGGGACUCCCGGCUCAGUUUAGAUCUGGAGAGGCGGACAAGCUCCCCGCCAGUCCACCACUGCUCCUGCUCGUCGCACUUUUCCGGUUGCCGUCGACUAGCCCACAAUAGAGGAGGCGACCUCCCUUUACCCCGCACCAUCACGGCGCCAGAAGAGGAUGAGCCCCAGGAGCGGCCAGAGAGGAGGAGAAAGAAGAGGGGAAGGAGAUGGAAGUUUCAGAUCCAAAGUUGUUGUUCUUGUUUUUCUUCCCAAAUCUGUUUGCUUUUUUGGUUUCCUGUGAUUCUAGGUUUUGAUGUGAUCUUUGUUGGUUGCUAGGAAGAAAAUGGAUGAAAAAAAUCUGCUCCUCAAAUUCGCCCAAAGAGUCCUAGAUCGGGGAUGGCCAGAGGAGGAAGACGACGGGGAGCAUAGACACCUCCGGAUCUCCAAUCCGCUUCUCCCCCCGAGGCUGUCGUAAUGCUCCUCGUCUCCAAGAACUCCUCACCAGGCUCCUACCACCAGUCGAGCAGCUUGAGGAAGUACACAGAGUUCUAGGUCGCUCUCCCAAAAAAAUAGUUCUAGGUCGCUGCAGCUCCAUGACCUCGGGGCAUGGCUCGAGGUCGGCCACUAGAUGCUCUUCGUCUUAAAUUUUGGGCGCGAAGACACGGGAAGGCCAGGCAGGAGCAUGACUCUUGUUUCACAUACCCAUCCUCUUCUUUUUCUGUGGAUUGGAAGGGGUUGCGUCUUGAUAAAUUUUGUAUAUUGCAUUCAAGAUUUGUGUUAUGCUCGUUCUUAGCACUUUUCUGGUCAAGGGAAGGUACUAGAGAACCUAGUUCUUAGCCAAAAUGCUUUUCGAGUGAAGCAGACACCAUUGCUUAAAGUAACUGACUUAAUAUUUGAGGAUUUGCAAGCACUUCUUUUAACCAAGAUAAAGUACGUACUUGGUUUCUCA